rnacentral:rRNA from 1 species
UCUACGGGUGGCAGCAGUGGGGAAUAUUGGACAAUGGGCGAAAGCCUGAUCCAGCCAUGCCGCGUGUGUGAAGAAGGCCUUCGGGUUGUAAAGCACUUUCAGUGGGGAAGAAAGCCUUGGGGCUAAUACCCUCGAGGAAGGACAUCACCCACAGAAGAAGCACCGGCUAACUCCGUGCCAGCAGCCGCGGUAAUACGGAGGGUGCGAGCGUUAAUCGGAAUUACUGGGCGUAAAGCGCGCGUAGGCGGUCUGAUAAGCCGGUUGUGAAAGCCCCGGGCUCAACCUGGGAACGGCAUCCGGAACUGUCAGGCUAGAGUGCAGGAGAGGAAGGUAGAAUUCCCGGUGUAGCGUUGAAAUGCGUAGAGAUCGGGAGGAAUACCAGUGGCGAAGGCGGCCUUCUGGACUGACACUGACGCUGAGGUGCGAAAGCGUGGGUAGCAAACAGGAUUAGAUACCCGGGUAGUC